rnacentral:rRNA from 1 species
AGCCAUGCCGCGUGCAGGAUGACGGUCCUAUGGAUUGUAAACUGCUUUUGUACAGGAAGAAACAGUUCUACGUGUAGAACCUUGACGGUACUGUAAGAAUAAGGAUCGGCUAACUCCGUGCCAGCAGCCGCGGUAAUACGGAGGAUCCAAGCGUUAUCCGGAAUCAUUGGGUUUAAAGGGUCCGUAGGCGGUCUAAUAAGUCAGUGGUGAAAGCCCAUCGCUCAACGGUGGAACGGCCAUUGAUACUGUCUGACUUGAAUUAUUAGGAAGUAACUAGAAUAUGUAGUGUAGCGGUGAAAUGCUUAGAGAUUACAUGGAAUACCAAUUGCGAAGGCAGGUUACUACUAAUUGAUUGACGCUGAUGGACGAAAGCGUGGGUAGCGAACAGGAUU